UAAUGGUGGGGACUCUAGUCAGACUGCCUACGCAAGUAGUGAGGAAGGUGGGGACGACGUCAAGUCAUCAUGGCCCUUACGUCCAGGGCUGCACACGUGCUACAAUGGUCAGUACAGAGGGCUGCCACCUGGUGACAGGGAGCAAAUCCUUAAAGCUGGCCUCAGUUCAGAUUGUAGUCUGCAACUCGACUACAUGAAGUUGGAAUCGCUAGUAAUCGCGUAUCAGCUACGACGCGGUGAAUACGUUCCCGGGCCUUGUACACACCGCCCGUCAAGCGAUGGAAGUGAGGAGUACCUAACGUCGCCGUGCCAACCGUAAGGAGGCAGGUGCCUAGGGUAAGCUUCAUAACUGGCGCUAAGUCGUAACAAGGUAGCCGUACCGGAAGGUGCGGCUGGAUCACCUCCUUUCU
rnacentral:rRNA from 1 species